rnacentral:lncRNA from 1 species
UAAGUUUUGUCCAAAUGUACUGACUGAAAAUGUAAUUUACUUUCUUUAUACUUAACUUUAAAUUUACAUAAGCAAGCCCUUUGUUUUAAAGCUACUUUGGAAAGCUGGUGAUUAAAAUGGGCAACUUGGCCAGGCACGGUGGCUCACACCUGUAUUCCCAGCACUUUGGGAGGCAGAGGCAGGCAGAUCACUUGAGGCCAGGAGUU